UGAGCCCAUUUUCAAUUACUUCGCUAUUCAGAUUCUAUAAUCAUCGUUAUUCAGAUUCCAGUCAUCAAUCAACGUUGCUGGCGUAAUAUAUUAUCAAUGGCAGUGGCACCGCCCGGGCGAAACUUGGAAUAUCCGGCAGACCUAAGCACUGGCACAGCGUGUCUUCAUCAUCGGAGACCCGGGUGUGAAUAUGCACGUGCUAUUCCAUAUUUUCAUCAGCCGCCAGGGAAAAACGCCCGGCUACCGUGCAGUCUCGUGUCUCGUCGCGCUGCGGGCGGGUUAUUUAUGGCGCAGUGGUUUUUUCAAAAUGUCUCGGCCAAAACAAACGACCAUUUUGAGCUUCAUUCAAAAUCCUAAAAGGCAAGCAGUAAAUGAAAAUAUCGCCAGUGGUAGCGAGACAGAGAUGUCUGACAAAGCGGAGGCAGACCAAGACCAACUUCCUGCUGCUCCCGCCCCAGCUCCCACCGAGGCCGUACAUGCUCCCGCCAGUGCCACCACAACCGCGAUGCCGGCCGUGCCUGUGCCAAAGCCGCCUGGACCACUGACACCUGAUCAGUGGACUAGGUGGCAGAAAAAGCGGCCAUGGCUUGAUGUGAAGGACGGCAAACUGGUCUGUCGGACUUGCACGAAGAUUGGCAGCCUAGAGGUACACGGCGGGACCACCUACUGCUGCGCCAUGCCGGACUACUGUAACGCGGCGCCCGCGGCCGGCGGCCCCCCGCUGCUGCUGCUGCUGCUGCUGCUGCCGCUCGGCCGCCACCUGGCCUCUCUCACGGCGCCGAUAGCGAGACGAACGAAAACUCAGCAGUGACCUCAGCAGCGAGUGACCUCAGCAGUGACCUCAGCAGCGAGUGACCUCAGCAGUGACCUCAGCAGCGAGUGACCUCAGCAGUGACCACAGCAGCGAGUGACCUCAACAGUGACCUCAGCGGCGAGUGCUGUCGACAUGCGCGGUGCGAGUAAAAAUUAGUUCUAAAGUCUGAUAUAAGUGUAUAUGAAUAUAUCAUUGUAAACAUG